rnacentral:rRNA from 1 species
UACGGGGGGGGCAAGCGUUGUUCGGAAUUACUGGGCGUAAAGGGUUUGUAGGUGGCUUGCUAAGUCACACGUGAAAUCCCUCAGCUUAACUGGGGAACUGCGUGUGAAACUGGCGAGCUUGAGGACAGGAGAGGAACGCGGAAUUCCAGGUGUAGCGGUGAAAUGCGUAGAUAUGCGGAGGAACACCGAUGGCGAAGGCAAUCCCCUGGACCUGUACUGACGCUCAUGCACGAAAGCGUGGGGAGCAAACAGG